AAGGCUGCGGGGAGAGCGGCCGGUGUGUGCGCCUCGCCUCGCUGGAAGUCCGUGCGUGUGCGGGUGAACUAGUGAUCGUGGCAAAGCAGAGAGAGAGAGAGAUGUAGCAGCGCAGCUCACCGGGGACGCUCCGUGGCCACCGUCUCGUCUGUCCACUUCCACGUCUACUACCCCCAUCUGUCCGGCAUUACCGACGCGCAAUGGGGACGCUCUGAGGCGGAGGAGGAGCCGCGUUUGUGUGAGACGGAGCCGCGCGAUGCGACCGAGGAGAGCCGGCUGUCGGAGGAUCUACUGCGGCUUCGGCGCUGGUUCGUUGGAGUAGCUUGUGCUAGCGCGCGGGGGGCUAGCGCCUGGCGCUGGCUUCUGCCGUCAAGAUGCUGCGCUGGAUACGACAGCAGCUGGGCUUUGACCCCCCCCAUCAGAGUGACACCAGGACCAUUUAUGUAGCAAACCGUUUCCCCCAGCAUGGCCACUACAUACCACAGCGCUUUGCAGACAACAGAAUCAUCUCGUCCAAGUACACAGUUUGGAACUUCGUCCCUAAGAAUCUGUUUGAGCAGUUUCGCAGGAUAGCGAACUUCUAUUUCCUCAUCAUCUUCCUGGUGCAGUUAAUGAUAGACACUCCAACUUCCCCAAUCACCAGUGGGCUCCCUCUCUUCUUUGUGAUCACGGUUACGGCUAUUAAACAGGGCUACGAGGACUGGCUGAGGCACAAAGCGGACAAUGAGGUCAACGGAGCGCCGGUGUAUGUGGUCCGCAGUGGGAGUCUGGUGCAGACGAGAUCUAAAAAUAUCAGGGUCGGGGACAUCGUCCGUGUCGCCAAGGAUGAGACGUUCCCCGCCGACCUGGUCUUGCUGUCGUCGGACCGUGCAGAUGGCACCUGUCACAUCACCACCGCCAGCCUCGACGGAGAGACCAACCUUAAGACCCAUUUUUCGGUGCCAGAGACGUCAGUGUGCCAGUCGGUGUCCCAGCUGGAGGCCUUGAAGGCUGUGGUGGAGUGUCAGCAGCCGGAAGCUGACCUUUACAGAUUUGUAGGACGCGUAACUAUAACCCAGCAUGAAGAGGAGAUCGUCAGACCGCUGGGUCCAGAGAACCUGCUGCUGCGAGGAGCAAGGUUGAAAAAUACCAAAGAGAUUUUUGGUGUGGCAGUUUACACUGGGAUGGAGUCCAAGAUGGCGCUCAACUAUAAGUGCAAGUCCCAGAAACGCUCUGCGGUGGAGAAGUCAAUGAACACCUUCCUGAUCAUCUACCUGGUCAUCCUGCUGUUUGAGGCCAUCCUCAGCACCAUUCUGAAGUACGCCUGGCAGGCUGAGGACAAAUGGGACGAGCCGUUCUAUAAUCAGAAGACUGAACAGGAGAGAAACAGCAGUCCGAUCCUUAAGUUCAUUUCAGACUUCUUGGCAUUCCUGGUGCUGUAUAACUUUAUCAUCCCCAUCUCACUCUACGUUACUGUGGAGAUGCAGAAGUUUCUGGGCUCCUUUUUCAUUGGCUGGGAUUUAGACCUGUACCAUGAGGAAAGUGACCAGAAAGCUCAGGUCAACACGUCUGAUCUGAAUGAAGAGUUGGGCCAGGUCGAGUACGUGUUCACAGACAAGACAGGCACGCUAACCGAAAAUGAGAUGCAGUUCCGGGAGUGUUCGAUAAAUGGCGUCAAGUACCGGGAAAUGAACGGCAAGCUGGUACCAGAGGGGAUGACCGAAGACUCGCCAGAUGGUUCAUCACCUCGCCUGAUGGGGGAGGAGAUAUUGUUCCUCAAGGCCGUGUCGCUGUGUCACACAGUUCAGAUCAGCUACGACCAGCCCGACUCGCUGCUGGGAGGGGAUCCCUUCUCCCACGCCAACGGCUUCUCCUCCAACCACAUGGAGUACUACGCCUCCUCGCCUGACGAAAAGGCUUUGGUCGAGGCAACAAAGAGAAUCGGAGUGGCUUUCACGGGCUGCAGCGGAGACACCAUGGAGAUCAAAACAUUUGGGAAAUCUGAAAAGUAUAAACUGCUCCACGUGUUGGAGUUCGAUCCAAAUCGAAGGAGGAUGAGCGUCAUCCUGCAGGCUCCCUCAGGAGGGACAGUGCUUUUCACAAAGGGUGCUGAGUCUGCCAUCCUGCCUUUCUCCACUAAUGGAGAGAUCGAAAAAACAAGGCUGCAUGUGGACGAGUUCGCCUUGAAAGGUUUGCGUACCCUUGUUGUAGCGUGUCGCCACUUCAGUCCAGAGGAGUACAUCGAUGUGGACAAGCGCCUGACUUCUGCUCGCACGGCUCUGCAGCAGAGGGAGGAGAAACUACAGGAAGCCUUCGCCUACAUCGAAAGAGAUCUGCAGCUCCUGGGAGCAACCGGGGUGGAAGACAAACUUCAAGAAAAGGUUCAGGAGACAAUCGAAGCGCUGCGGCUGGCGGGAAUCAAAGUGUGGGUGCUGACCGGGGACAAACACGAGACGGCGGUCAGCGUCAGCUUGUCAUGUGGCCACUUCCACAGAACCAUGAACAUCUUGGAGCUUCUGCAGCAGCGCUCCGACAACGAGUGUGCAGAGCAGCUCCGCAGACUGGCCCGCAGGAUAAAAGAAGACCACGUUAUUCAGCACGGCUUGGUCGUAGAUGGGGCCAGUCUGUCUUUAGCGUUGAGGGAACAUGACAAACUAUUCAUGGAAGUGUGUAAAAACUGCUCGGCGGUGCUCUGCUGCCGUAUGGCCCCGCUGCAAAAAGCAAAGGUCGUCCGUCUGCUCAAGACUUCUCCAGAAAAGCCGAUAACAUUGGCUAUCGGCGACGGAGCCAACGAUGUCAGCAUGAUACAGGAAGCUCAUGUGGGCAUAGGUAUCAUGGGAAAGGAGGGUCGUCAGGCCGUGAGAAACAGCGACUAUGCAAUAGCUAGGUUUAAGUUCCUGGCCAAACUACUGCUGGUCCACGGUCACUUCUACUACAUUCGAAUAGCUACUCUUGUACAGUACUUUUUCUACAAGAAUGUGUGUUUUAUUACGCCACAGUUUUUAUACCAGUUCUUCUGCUUGUUUUCACAACAAACUCUGUACGACAGCGUUUACCUGACGCUGUACAACAUCUGCUUCACCUCGCUGCCCAUCCUCGUCUACAGUCUGUUUGAGCAGCUGGUCCAUCCCGACGCGCUGCAGAGUAAGCCGGGCCUGUACAGAGAUAUCAGCAAGAACUCCAUGCUGUCUUUCCGGACGUUCCUGUACUGGACCUUGUUGGGCUUCGGUCACGCCUUCAUCUUUUUCUUUGGGUCCUACAUACUGAUGGGCGAGGACACGACACUCAUGGGCAACGGACAGAUGUUGCGAGCUAACAGGCAGCUGAUGUUUGGGAACUGGACGUUUGGGACACUCGUUUUUACGGUUAUGGUCAUCACUGUCACUUUAAAGCUUGCGUUAGAGACUCAGUUUUGGACCUGGAUGAAUCAUUUCGUGACAUGGGGCUCAAUCGCUUUCUAUUUCAUCUUCUCUCUGUUUUACGGAGGCAUUAUCUGGCCGUUCCUGCACACCCAGGACAUGUACUUCGUAUUUGUCCAGCUGCUGUCCAGCGGUUCAGCCUGGUUCGCCAUCAUAAUCAUCGUCAUCACCUGCCUGUUUCCUGACGUGGUGAAGAAGGUCUUCUACAGACAUCUGUGUCCCACCAGCACACAGAAGAGUCAGAUGUAUUCCAACCGAGUGGUCAUAGGUGACGACUUCAUCGCUCUGCAGCCUUUGUCCAGAGCCAAGAGCCAGCUGGGCAAAAUUAGUCUCUAUCAGCCCCCCAGGCGCAGGCCCUCAGCUGUGUGGAGUCCCUGUGCUGCUACCAGCAUGGCCAAAGCGGCUGUUCCCGUCUGGCCCGCCUCCUGGAGCAAAUGAGCGGACGAUGCAAGACCGGCGUCAACGAUUGCCACGCGUCCGGCCACCGCAGCAACAGGUCUUGGAGCGACACAGAGAACUUCUACUCCAACGAUCGCAGCAUCCUGACUCUGUCGCCCAUCGAGGCCAGCCGCUGUUGACUCCCGCCGCCGCCGCCGCCCUUAAAACACGCCUCCGGUGGGGGAGCGCGCCACCAAUCAGCCGCCAGUCCUAAUUACUCCCCCCUGGUACCGUUUUUUUAUGAGCCCACUCCAGUUUAAAGUCAGGGACUCGGCUCUGUUGCACAGCCUGAACCUCUUCUGUGUCCCCGGGUCGGUCGUUUCUUAGAAAGACGAGCGUCAGAGGAACUGAAACGAGUCCGCCCGGUUGGCCGUAGCCCUUCGUGUCGGCAGAUACAAUCAGGACACGAGCAGGAAAUAUCAGAUUCCAAGACUGCGAGUCCUGGAAGGUGAACCGAAGACACAUUUUUUUUUUAAAAAGUCUCGGUUGUUCCCCGCGGAGAUUUAGCUUGUUUGGUUUCUCUGAGCAGCUGCCAGACUCCUGAAUCUUGGUGACACCUCCCACGUUCCGGUCUGUAUUUUGUUUUUUUUCUACUAACGUCGACGACAAUUGCUAAAGCACAGCUCAAAAUGUUCAGGCAGGGAAAGUUUUAGACGAUUCUUCCAGGAGUCCCUGAGCUGUCCGAUCCACUGCUGCACCUUAAAAUCCCCGUUCAGAUCAGAUCCUGUAGCGUCCGGAGGUUUCUGCUGAACCUGCAACUUAAACUCACCUGGUACCAAAGACCAAAGGCUCAAGACUGGAGUUUAAGGGUUUAUUUUUGUGCCUGAUUGUACAGAAGCCCGUAUUGUUUAGUAGUUUUGUGUUCGUGUCUCUCCCCGGCGCGGAGCUCUGGAACGGGCCGGGUGUUUCUAAAAGCCAUACACGUAGAAGAGGAGAAUAUAUUUCUGAUAAUUCAGCUGCAGAUAAAAGCUGCUAGAGCCUCUAGUUUCCUUGUACCUGUUCCCCCCCCAGAAAAAAUGCCUUUUACUCCAGCAGCCUGGUGACCAAAAGCCUCUCAGCGUUACAGAAGCGCCCCGAGUAGCGCUUCAGUCGAGUUUAGGCCGGACAGAAUCGAGCGUAGCGGCGAGAAGCUUCUGGAAAGCGGCGGCUGGAGUUCAUCGAAGUAGACGGAAGAAUGUUUGGUGUCCAGAGAAAAUCCCUUCGGAAGGAGGGAAGAGCUGAGCGUUUGCACAAAUCUCAUGUCAGCGUCACAUUUUCUGGGCUGUCGUUGCUUUUAAAAAAAAAAAAAAAAA